AUCGCACCUGCCCAGAGCAUUACUAUGCAGAAGAAAACACCUGGACCUGUGAGAGAUGUCAUCCGACUUGCAAAAAAUGCAAAGGAAAAGGAGGAUCGGAUUGCUUGUCCUGUGUGUGGAACUACCACCUCAUGGGUGGAAUCUGCAACUCCGACUGUCUUGUGGGAAAAUACAGAGUGGGAGAGGGAGAGAAAUUCAACUGUGAAAAAUGCCACGAGAGCUGUAUGGAAUGCAAGGGCCCCGGCACCAAGAACUGCACCAUGUGCCCCGCGUCCCUGCUGCUGCACAUGGACG
rnacentral:lncRNA from 1 species